rnacentral:rRNA from 1 species
AUCAACCUUCGAUGGUAGGAUAGAGGCCUACCAUGGUGGUAACGGGUAACGGGGUGUUAGGGCACGACACCGGAGAGGGAGCCUGAGAAACGGCUACCACAUCCAAGGAAGGCAGCAGGCGCGCAAAUUACCCAAUCCCGACACGGGGAGGUAGUGACAAUAAAUAACAAUACAGGGUUCUUUCGGAUCUUGUAAUUGGAAUGAGUACAAUUUAAAUCUCUUAACGAGGAACAAUUGGAGGGCAAGUCUGGUGCCAGCAGCCGCGGUAAUUCCAGCUCCAAUAGCGUAUAUUAAAGUUGUUGCAGUUAAAAAGCUCGUAGUUGAAUUUCGGGAUCAAUGUUUCGGUCAUGCCGUUGGUAUGUACUGAUAUUAUUGGUUUCUCACCUUCUAGAGAACCGUAAUGCCAUUAAUUUGGUGUCACGGGGAAUUAGGACUGUUACCUUGAAAAAAUUAGAGUGUUUAAAGCAGGCUCACGCUUGAAUACAUUAGCAUGGAAUAAUGAAAUAGGACAUCCGAUUCUAUUUUGUUGGUUUCUAGGAUCGAUGUAAUGAUUAAUAGGGAUAGUUGGGGGCAUUAGUAUUCAAUUGUCAGAGGUGAAAUUCUUGGAUUUAUUGAAGACUAACUACUGCGAAAGCAUUUGCCAAGGAUGUUUUCAUUAAUCAAGAACGAAAGUUAGGGGAUCGAAGACGAUCAGAUACCGUCGUAGUCUUAACCAUAAACUAUGCCGACUAGGGAUCGGAUGAUGUUAAUUUUUUAAUGACUCAUUCGGCGCCUUACGGGAAACCAAAGUGUUUGGGUUC